GGUUAAGCGACUAAGCGUACACGGUGGAUGCCCUGGCAGUCAGAGGCGAUGAAGGGCGUGCUAAUCUGCGAUAAGCGCCGGUAAGGUGAUAUGAACCGUUAUAACCGGCGAUACCCGAAUGGGGAAACCCAGUGUGACUCGUCACACUAUCAUUAACUGAAUCCAUAGGUUAAUGAGGCGAACCGGGGGAACUGAAACAUCUAAGUACCCCGAGGAAAAGAAAUCAACCGAGAUUCCCCCAGUAGCGGCGAGCGAACGGGGAGGAGCCCAGAGCCUGAAUCAGCAUGUGUGUUAGUGGAAGCGUCUGGAAAGGCGCGCGAUACAGGGUGACAGCCCCGUACACAAAAGCGCAUGUGCUGUGA
rnacentral:rRNA from 1 species